AUGCCAGGCGUGCUACCUGGCUGCUAUGGAACAGAAGAUUUCCGGCCUCACCGCCCCAUCCUGAGCCCCGGAUCGGGGGUGGGGGGUGGGCCGGGGCAGCAACAUACCACUGCUGGGACAGGAGUUGGGGGAGUCUCCAGCAGUGUAGAGAGACCAGGAGCGGGGAGCGGUCCUGGGGGGAGCAGCAACAACAGCGGCAGCUCCUUCCUGGGUUCCCUAUUUGGCAGCAAACGCGCCAAACCACCAGGGCCCCUUAUCCCACCGGGGCCACCCUACCCCGCACCUGUACCCCCACCGACUACUGGAGGGCCCCCUCCUCACUCCCCUUCAUCGCUGUGCCAGCUGGAGGGGGGCCCUUCCAAGAUCCAGGCGCUGCACGCACAGUACUGUCACAUGGCCGCCGUGCAGCCCCCACCACCUUAUUACCAUCACCAUCGCUACCACGUCCAAACUGUCCCCCCUCCUUUGCAAGGUGUGCCCCCUCAUACUAUACAGAGAGGCCCACUACCCUGUCGUCCACCGCUUGGCCCACCACACGCCCCGCACCCGCAGCUGGCCCAUCUCUCCCAGCUUUCCCAGCAUGGGCUUCCGGGUCGCUACGCCAACAUGGUGGUGGGAUGUCCCCCCCCCCUUUCUCCUCUCUCCCAACAUUCCCAGAACCCACAGUUCGCAUUGUACCACGUGCAGCCCACACACUCUGUCAGAGGGGGCGGCGGCCCUGGUGCCAAACCGCCACUAACCCUGUCCCACUCCCAUCCGCACCCCCACGCACACUCCCAAACCCACCCAGGACACGUGCACACACCACACCCAGCCAGCCACUCCACCCAUCAAACACACUUCAUAUUCGGCACCCUGCCCCACAACCUUCCGUCCGCAUCCGUCAAUGCGCAUCACGCAGCGCCCGCCGUCCCGUAUCUGCCCCAGUACCCUCCUCUCUCUUCUAUCCCCCCUCCCCCACCACACUCCCCUUUACCCCCCCCUUCGUCCCCCCUUACCCCUCUUACACCUCUCUCCCCUCACCCCCCCCAGCACCCCGGGCAGCCUCAGCAGGGGCCACAGGUGACGGGGGCUGGAUCGACAGGUACAGGGGGCAGCUCCAAAUCCAAGCCUAUCAACCGGAUAAGUACCGUAGUGUGA
rnacentral:lncRNA from 1 species